GUUAGAACAGCCAAGGCAUGCAUUUCUCUUUAAGCAAAGUGAGUCUUGUGGGUCUAACAGUAUGUUUAAAGACUUUGGUGACUUCCAGUGUGACAUCACAUUGUCACACUAGGUUUACAUGUUUCUAAAGAGCUCAGUGAGGAAAGGUGAAAGAAAAAAGAAUGAACAGACUGGAUGAAGAGACUCCUUUGAUGGAAGCACUGGAAUAGCCUGGUACAAAAUCCUGAGGAUCUCUAUCAGAGGAACAGGAGAGUUCUUCUAGGAGCAGUAGUAAAUCUCUAAAUGUGUCAUCAAGACUCCCUGAAAUGCUCCCAUACAGUCUGUCAAAUUAAAUGUAAAUAGCUUGGAAUAAAAGACUUGCAUUGAAGACAUCUGGAGAGUGCUGUGCCGUGACUCUGAACUCAGAGGUUGCUCAUGUAAAUGCCCUUACAGACAAUGACAGCAAAUGGCUAUGUUACUGAAGAAAUAAAUGCUCAUUAGAUGCUCAGAUAAAACCGAUGGAUCUGAACAAAAUGGCACCUCAGCUUGAACCUUCAUAUGGCAUUGCUUCUCUUGGAGUCACUUAUUCAUAGGCUGAAACAGAUAUGAAAUCUAAUCACCCCAUGGCCCUUCCAGCAUCUAGGAAGCAAAAUGCAAGGAAAAAGAUGGCUCCUUCAACUCAAGCUCUCAUAUGUUGCUGUUCAUCCUGUCAGUAGACUUUGUUCAAGGUAGUAAUGAAAUAUGGGAGGAACACGAUGCAGGCUUAAGCUCCAAGCACAGCCCGCAUGCACGUGCCAGGCUCGUCCUCUGAGAGUCAACAGAUAUUUCUUGAAAAGGAAGAGAGGUUCAGUUCCUGGAGUAUAUCCAUUCUGCAUAGAUUUGGCAAACGUUGAUCAUACCUAUCUUGUGCUUUGCCUCUGUAAGAAGCAGAGACCCAAGCCAACUUCCUCCAUAUGGUCACAAUGCCUAGAGCCACAGUCAGUUUGGGAAUAUGCUGGCACCAAGAAAAAGAAUAACUGUCAGGCUGAGUGCCAUGAUCUGCCCCAUUUUAAAUAUUGCCUACGAGUGGGCAAGAAACUGCUUCAGAGUACUUCCAGCUGCAGCUGGCAACUGCAUCAAGAAGGUAAAUCAUGGAAAGUGGAUGAAAAGUUAGACAGGAGUAUUAUGUCAAGUGGGACACUGCAGGUUUAAGCAAGACCUUGUGAUGGAGCUGAGCAGAUAAUAACCCUCUAGAUGAAAGCUAGUUCCCAGACUGUCACCAAGAGACUGUUAGAUCAUCCAUGAGAUAUAUAGUAUUCCUGCUUGAAAAGAUGGCUCGUGGCAGGUCAGAUGGAAUGAUGAAUGUUAACAAGGGUCUACAGCCAGCAGUUGGGAAGUUGUAGUCCUAUGACUUUCCACUGGCUCACUUAGUGAUUAUUUCUGGAUUCUACAUUAUCUUAACUUAGAAUGUUCAACAACAAAAAAGUUUAUUGGAGAAAAAAUAUAAUUAUUGGUCAGCUGGAUAUAUUAAUUCUAGCAAUUUGUAAUAACAAUCUCCACUUUUUCUGCUGCACCAUGACAAAUGAAAAUCCAGUCUCUGCCUUGGAGAGUUUAUAAAUAACACUACACUAAUCUUGUGAAGGGCAUGAAAGGGUCAAGGAAGGAAAGGAAUUACUUAGGGUAGCCCAGGGGAGCAGACCUCCUAGUGAAAAGGUGAAGCUAAGUGGAAUUUGUGGCUUAAACAUUAUCAGAGUGCUUCUUGAUAUGGAUUUGACCUUUAAGUGGUCUCCCAAGAGAUAAGGAGAGAACUUAAAUGCUUGGAACGUUUCAGUUAUAUUGGACUAAAUUCCUAAAAAAUAUUUGGCAAGGAGUUAGCCUUCAAAGGAGAUAGAUGAGCUAAUUAGGUUCUUUUCCAUCUCCAACUACCAUGACUUUAUGUGUUGCCAGAGCUGCAUGACCUUAGAAAGGAAAGUGUGGGACAUAUCUGUGGUGAUGUACUAUACAUAGUGUUGUAUUUCCAUGCACAGCAUCAGGUCCUCUGGCACUGAGCUGGAUCCAAAAGAUACUUAAAAUAAAGUACUUAAGAAUAGCAAGACUAACCUUUUCAAAGGGAGCUGAUGCAACAAUCAUUCCUCAGUCACCAGCAUGUCCAAUUUCUCAAAUACCAUUAAAAAAUAGCAACACAUUUUCACCCUGCUGCCUACUACUGGUUAACAGAAUGAUCCCAGCACAUAGCUACUUGGUAGCCUAGGAAAAUAUGGAAACACUUCACAUACAGUAUCUCACUGUUGAUCCCUUGCUGUUUGUGUCAUACAGCUCUUCACAAGAUAAAUCAUCUUGCCUGAAGUGAGUCACUUACCGAAAAGAUUCCUCUGCCCUCCUCCCCCUUUGAUAUGUUUGUUCUUAAAUUUCCAAAUGGAUUGAAGUGAACAGACUUUGAAGUGUGGUUAUGGCUGCCAUCAAAAUAAUGACUAUCCCCCAAAAAUGUCACUGGGUGACUUCUGAUUUAUUCCUUCUCAGUCGUUUCCAGACCCAGUGUGCUCAGCUUGUGCAUCAAAAAUGAAGACGUUCUCAGCUCCUAAUGCCACAAAAGCUAAUUUACAGUUCUCUUCUGUCAUGCUUUAUUACUAGUGAAGAAAAGGCAUUGCGAAUAUUGGCAUUCUUCUUUUUCUUGAAUAUUUCCUCAAUGUUCCCAAACAAAGCUUUUAAACAAAAUUUGCAAGCAUUUAAUCUAAAUGUGCUCAGUCUGAGUCUAGAUCUGAACCCAUUAUUUGAAUAUCUCAGAACUAACACAUGGAUUUAUCCAUCCCAAAGUUUAAGAACAGUUUGCUGAAGCUGGAAGUAGUUUGAGGCCAAGGUGAAGGCAAGAAACAGGAAAUAACUGUUGUUCACAGCAUCCAUGCUGGUUUUCUACAGUUGAACUUCGUAUUGACCAGUGAACAAUCUUAGACAGACAGGUCGUACAUUUCAUAUAGCAGCAGACAUGAGUAAUGGUUUCAACUAUGGAUAAUUAUCCAGGAGAUGCAAGCUCCUUCUGGCAGAAAAUUAAUUAAUUAAUUAAUUAAUUCAGUCUUAGUUAUUAAUUCCUGCACCAUGUACCAGAUAGAUUGCAGCAAAGCAGUGUGCCAGGAUACAAAGUCUUCAUCUUUUUGCAAGUUUGAAAGAAGGGUAUUUCAUCCCAACCAUAACAAGAGAAAGACAGGGAAGUGAUCAAGGCAAGUCUGAAAAGUCCUGCACCAUUAUUGUUGUUGCUACAAGACCACAUCUGACUGAGCUUAAUAUGGGGGUAGAUAACACAUUAAUAUCCCUGUUAAGAUUUUUCUUUUGCAGCAAUACCCAACUAAAUUCUGUUCUAUUAUGCAGGAACACCUAGCCAAAACAUGGAGAUAAGCACUGUUUUUCCAGCUUAUAAAAAUAAGCUCAUAAUACUGCUUAAGUCUGCUUAAUAGGUAAAAGAGACAAAGUUUUUUCAGAGAGAGAGAAGCAAUCUCUUACUGUUACAGUUGAUAAUCUAUCUGGAAACAAUCUAUAUAUUGCCAUCAUAAGAAGUCCUUAUCUUGAGGUAAAAUAGAAGCUACAGAUUUCAAAGCACGCACAGUUGCCCUAACUUUAAAAUCAUUGCAAUAUUUAAACACUUUGAGGGAAAAGUUGCUGAACAAAAGAUGAAGUUUGCAACAGGAAAGUUGAUUAGGUUGGCGCUGGUCUUCGUCCCCCAGCACACAAUUACUGCCUAUGAGAUACUGAAGUCUUGUCAUGGGCAGGGUGCAGAUUAAAUUAUAAUUAUAGAUAUGUGUAUUAUGUGACACACUAAGAAACUCCUCUGAGUUAUGGCUUUAGGUAUACAGUAGAAUUAUGGACUUUAACUUUCCAGCAAAGAUUUCUAGGGUAUUUUGUAAGUCUCUCUGGAGGAUCAGGGCCAAGAAGCCAGACGUGUAGCAUCAGGAAGUAGUUAUAGUUGGAAAAUCUCCCCUUCUCCGGACAGAUCUAGUCUCAAUGAUCUCCUUUUGCCAUCACAUCCAUAGCAACACUACUAGCAAAAGAUGAAAGAUGUCUGACAACUUUGUUCCCCUGGAACCACAGAGCUUUCUACCAUAAGGAUAACUUUCAUGUGGAAGAGACACAGAACUUUUUCCGGGAGUGGGUCCAACACUUUGAAACAAAUCCUCACAAGACAGGAGAACCAUCCCAAACCUCACCACCUUCAGGUCCAUUUACACGUCAAGUGAUUUCCUUCUUGCCUCCUGCAGUGUAAACAUGAGGAAAUGCAUGCAUAUUUAUUUAAGCCUUCCCCAGCUAUGAUGUUCCACUACUCCCAUUUCUUCUGCUCUUUGCAAUGUUUAAUACAUAACUGGAAAGCAUGCCAGCACUUAUGAAUAUAAUCAUGAGUAUAAGAAUAGAGAGUAGACAACAGAAAUAUGUUCCCUUAACUCAACUGAUGGCAAGAGAAUAGACAGGGAGAGAGGAAGGAAAAGGAGGAAAGGAGACAAACUUCAAGGUGCACCAAGCCAUAAAUGAAAAACCAUAACCAAUGUGAGUCUAAAGUUUGGUACAACAGGUUCAUACACAGAUCAAGCACUCAGAAUUGACCACACCAUGAAAGACAGAGCAAGUUUGAUAAUUUUCAGUAAGCCACUGCACAAAAGCUGGAAAGAGCCCCUUCUUGCUUCGACAAAGAAGAGAAACAAAAAUUAUAAGUAGGCAAAAACAGGCCCUUGAAAAAGGCACUGGGUUUGAAACCAGGUAAAAUGGAAUUUGUAAUUAAUUCAGCUCCCACUCUUCUUCUGGCCAAAGACACACAGAUGUCUUCUGAAAUUACUUACUCUGGUGAAACUUCUAGUUACAUGGGGAAGGUCUGAUUCUCCUUGUCUUCCUUUCUCCUUUCCUGUUUGUGGGGUGUUUGAGAGCUUGUUUCACCAUUCGGAAAAUAAUCCAGACACUUUGUGCAUCUACAGUCCGGUCUCUGGAUACCCAAACCUGGUCACCAUAAGUACACUUCGUUCACAAUCCCAUAGCAAAGCGGUGGCUCCUAUUUUCCUCUCCUGUACAAUUUUACAAGAGGAUUCCUAGAGCAUCAACAGCAGUAGCCUUUAAGGAAAUACAUGCACACAGACGUGUGAAAUUCCUGCUAGCUACAACAGUCCUGGCUUGCGGUGGGAAUGCUAGCAGGAACCAUUGGGAAACUCAUCUGGAAUGACCACCAUUCAAAGUGGUUUUAAUCCAGUCAGACUCACUCAACAUUGGAGUCAGGUUGGAAGAACCCCAUGAGGACUUCUGGUAUCUGUUCUUUCCCAGCUCUGCUCAUAUCCCAACCAGUUUGGCAUAUUCCUGGAGGUAUUUUUUCUUUAUUUUUUUUUCCUGAGUGGGCACAGCUCCACCUCAUGUCAUCAGAACUUUGUUUCCCAUUGGCAGCCCUUCCCUCUCUCAUCGCCGGUGCCAGCGCAAGGGUGGUGUACAUCAGCCCCAUGAUUGAAGCAAGCUGUAACUGACAGCGGGGCAGGGAUGAGUGGCUGGUACAGGCAGGAGAUGUCUGUGCUGCACUUAUCCUAAGGAGCUGAGAGCCAGGGCACUGCAGAUAGGAGCCGAGAAGUGCUGAGUGACUGUGCAGCUGAGAGAGAACAGGCCCUGCCUUAUCCUGAAGGGGGAAGUUCAACCAAAAGGGAUUUUGCUGUUUCAAAUUACAAGCUGGUGGCUCCAGACAAAUCUGGAGGGGGCUGCCACCUCCUGAAAUAGCAGCAGCAGAGAGAGCUGCAUGCUGAGAUCAGGAGCAGUAGGGUGACAUUUGGGAGUGAGGGUUGCUGCAAGAUGGCCUUUGGGUGCCAAGGUCACACAGCCCAUCGGGAUGCACCUCAACACAGCCUCGCUCAUUCCUUUGUCCACUCCCCACCUCUGCCAGGACCUAGAGGACAGUGUGCAGGGGUUGAGCUCCAUUGCACUGAGAAAUAAAUCAAACCCUGUGGUCAGGAGCCAUUGCCUCCAAGCCAUCCCCUCUUUCCUCACUGAACCCAAAGUCUUUGGCCAUGCGGGAGCUAAAAUAUUUUGUUGCCACCCUGAUCACUUACAAGAAUGCAGCCACUGGCCCUAAUGCUUUAAUCCUCCCAUUGUCUUUUAAAGCUUUUUACAUUGUCACCAAUAAAGAUCG
rnacentral:lncRNA from 1 species